AGGGGUAUAGCUCAGUUGGUAGAGCGGCGGUCUCCAAAACCGCAGGUCGCGGGUUCAAACCCUGCUGCCCCUGCCA
rnacentral:tRNA from 2 species